UGGGGAAUAUUGCACAAUGGACGGAAGUCUGAUGCAGCAACGCCGCGUGCGGGAUGACGGCCUUCGGGUUGUAAACCGCUUUUUCUCAUGACGAAGUUUUUUGACGGUAGUGGGGGAAGAAGCACCGGCUAACUACGUGCCAGCAGCCGCGGUGAUACGUAGGGUGCGAGCGUUGUCCGGAAUUAUUGGGCGUAAAGAGCUUGUAGGCGGUUUGUCGCGUCGAUAGUACAAACUCAGUGCUUAACGCUGAGCCUGCUGUUGAUACGGGCAGACUAGAGGAAGGUAGGGGAGAAUGGAAUUCCCGGUGGAGCGGUGGAAUGCGCAGAUAUCGGGAGGAACACCGGUGGCGAAGGCGGUUCUCUGGGCCUUUCCUGACGCUGAGAAGCGAAAGCGUGGGGAGCGAACAGG
rnacentral:rRNA from 1 species